UCCAAGAACAUGCUUCCAUUGCAUAUUGGAA
rnacentral:piRNA from 1 species